rnacentral:rRNA from 1 species
UACGUAGGGUGCUAGCGUUGUCCGGAAUCAUUGGGCGUAAAGAGCGUGUAGGCGUCCCGUUAAGUCCGCUGUAAAAGUCAAAGGCUCAACCUUUGAAUGUCAGUGGAUACUGCCGGGCUAGAGUCCGGAAGAGGCGAGUGGAACUCCUGGUGUAGCGGUGGAAUGCGCAGAUAUCAGGAAGAACACCACCGGCGAAGGCAGCUCGCUAGGACGGUACUGACGCUGAGACGCGAAAGCGUGGGGAGCGAACAGG